GAUGAACGCUGCCGGCGUGCUUAACACAUGCAAGUCGAACGAAGCACUUAUGAUUGCUUCUUCGGAUGACGUCUUUUGUGACUUAGUGUCGGACGGGUGAGUAACGCGUGGGUAACCUGCCUCACCCAGGGGGAUAACAGUUAGCAAUGACUGCUAAUACCUCAUAUCCCGAUAGGAUCGCAUUAUCCACACGGUAAAGAUUUAUCGGUGUGUGAUGGAGACGCGUCUGAUUAGCUAGUUGGUGAGGGAACGGCCGACCAAGGCGAGGAUCAGUAGCCGGGAUGGGAGGGGGAAACGCGACAUUGGGACUAAGACACGGACCAAAAACGUACGGAAGGCAGGAGAGGGGAACAUUGCACAAUGGGGGAAAAUGUGAGGAAGCGACGUGGCGUGAGUGAAGAAGUAGUUCGGUAAGUAAAGCUGUAGCAGAAGGGGAGAGAAUGACGGUACCGGAUUAAGAAGCACCGGCUAACUACGUG
rnacentral:rRNA from 1 species